GAUGAACGCUAGCUACAGGCUUAACACAUGCAAGUCGAGGGACCGGCGCACGGGUGAGUAACACGUAUCCAACCUGCCCUUUACUCGGGGAUAGCCUUUCGAAAGACAGAUUAAUACCCGCUAUAAAGGCUGGGGAUGCGUUCCAUUAGGUUGUUGGGGCGGUAACGGCUCACCAAGGCUUCGCUGGAUAGGGGUUCGGAGAGGAAGGUGCCCCAGAGUUGAACUGGCACAAGGGCCAAACUCCUACGGGCCGAAGUAGUGCGGGAUACUGGUCAAUGGGCGCUAGCCUGAACCAGCCAAGUAGCGUGAAGGAUGGAGGCGUCUGGAUGGUAAACUUCUUGUAUAUAAGAAUAUGUAUUAUAUGAAUAAGGAUCGGCUAACUCCGUGCCAGCAGCCGCGGUAAUUC
rnacentral:rRNA from 1 species